rnacentral:rRNA from 1 species
UGAAGGUCAGGCUGAAGACCUUACCCGAUUAGCUGAGAGGUGGUGCAUGGCCGUCGUCAGUUCGUACUGUGAAGCAUCCUGUUAAGUCAGGCAACGAGCGAGGCCCACGUCCACAGUUGCCAGCAUACCCUCCGGGGUGAUGGGUACACUGUGGAGACCGCCGCUGCUAAAGCGGAGGAAGGAGUGGGCAACGGUAGGUCAGUAUGCCCCGAAUCUCCCGGGCUACACGCGGGCUACAAUGGUUGGUACAAUGGGCAUCUACCCCGAAAGGGGAAGGAAAUCUCUUAAAGCCAAUCGUAGUUCGGAUUGAGGGCUGCAACUCGCCCUCAUGAAGCUGGAAUCCGUAGUAAUCGCGUUUCAACAGAACGCGGUGAAUACGUCCCUACUCCUU